rnacentral:rRNA from 1 species
GUCUACCGCCGUACCACCCUGAACGCACCAGAUCUCGUCUGAUCUGGGAAGCUAAUAGGGUCGGACCUGGUUAGUACUUGGAUGAGAGAUCGCCUGGGAAUAUCGGGUGCUGUAGGCU